UCAAUUUAGGUUCAUUAAAUAGAGAGCAAAUAGUCAAGUCAUAUAAAAUAUUGUGUAGGUAAAACAAAGCGGCAACCUUCAUCAUUUUUCCAUAAGCAAGAUUAUACCAAAAUUACUAACAUCAUUGUAAGCACAAGGUGAUGGUGAUCAUGAUUUAUUGAAAACAGAAACUAGGUUGUACUCCUAGUAGCCAUGUUAUUAUUGAGAGAUAUAAAAAAGGUUACAUUGAAUCUAUGGUUGAAUGCUUAUAUACACAUGCAUUUUAGAAAGAGAUGAACAAAGAUAAGGUUGAGGAAGAAUUUACCAUCCUUUCGAUGCUUAUAACGAACUGUAGGUAGCCUCCCCCAUUGUUAAGCGUUGUGCUUAGCAUAGAAGAAGAAAAAGGAGCAUCUUCUGGCGACCGUGAUCCUUGUAUUCCAUAUAGCAUUUUUAUCUUCAUCCGCCAAGUCCUCCCCCAUGCUAAGCAUUGUGCUAAGCAUGGAAGAAGAAGAUGAAGCAUUUUAUGAUUGUUGAAAUUCUUGUGCUCCACGUCCGGAGCUUGUCUUUACGCUUCUUCACUUUUGUCACCAUUAUUGUCCUUUAAUUUUUUCACUUUUUCUUUCAUGAAAGCACUUCAUCAUGUCUGCAAAACAAUUCAAGUGCACAUACUACCCCC
rnacentral:lncRNA from 1 species